AGCCACGUCAGCGCACCUAAUACA
rnacentral:siRNA from 1 species